rnacentral:rRNA from 1 species
UGGCGAACGGGUGAGUAACACGUGGGUAACCUACCUCUUAGCAGGGGAUAACAUUUGGAAACAAGUGCUAAUACCGUAUAAUACCAACAACCGCAUGGUUGUUGGUUGAAAGAUGGUUCUGCUAUCACUAAGAGAUGGACCCGCGGUGCAUUAGCUAGUUGGUAAGGUAACGGCUUACCAAGGCAAUGAUGCAUAGCCGAGUUGAGAGACUGAUCGGCCACAAUGGGACUGAGACACGGCCCAUACUCCUACGGGAGGCAGCAGUAGGGAAUCUUCCACAAUGGGCGCAAGCCUGAUGGAGCAACGCCGCGUGUGUGAUGAAGGGUUUCGGCUCGUAAAACACUGUUAUAAGAGAAGAACGGCACUGAGAGUAACUGUUCAGUGUGUGACGGUAUCUUACCAGAAAGGAACGGCUAAAUACGUGCCAGCAGCCGCGGUAAUACGUAUGUUCCAAGCGUUAUCCGGAUUUAUUGGGCGUAAAGCGAGCGCAGACGGUUAUUUAAGUCUGAAGUGAAAGCCCUCAGCUCAACUGAGGAAUGGCUGUGGAAA